rnacentral:rRNA from 1 species
GACGAACGCUGGCGGCGUGCCUAAUACAUGCAAGUCGAACGCAGUGGGGACGGGUGAGUAACACGUGGGUCACCUCCCCAUCAGCGGGGAUAACACUUGCAAACAGGUGCUAAACCGAUACUACUGGAUGGACCCGAGGUGCAUUAGCUAGUUGGUGAGGUAACGGCUCACCAAGGCCACGAGGCAUAGCCGCCCUGAGAGGUGGAGCGGCGACACGGGGACUGAGAAACGGCCCAGACUCCUACGGGAGGCAGCAGUAGGGAGUGUUCGGGAAUGGACGAAAGUCUGACCGAGCAACGCCGCGUGAGUGAAGAAGGUUUUCGGAUCGUAAAACUCUGUUGUUAGGGAAGCGGUAUCUAACCAGAAAGCCACGGCUAACUACGUGCCAGCAGCCGCGGUAAUAC